GGGUAUGUGUGUCCAGAGUGGAGAGAGUCACAGAGGUGUGAGAGCCAGCAAAGACAGCCAGUCGGGUCUCUGAGGCUUGCCGCCUGGCUGCCGGGCACUGUCUUUCCAGAGCGUCACUCAGGAGAUGGGCCAGCAGCUGAGCCACGACGCCCUCGACUCCACCACCCUGCAGGAAGGGAAGGUGCCCCACGCUGCCAAGCGAGGCCAGGGCCGGCUCAGGGCUGAAAAUCCAUCCCCAGCGAAGAGCAAAGCGUCCCGCCUGGUGUGAACCGUCCAGGCUGGAACGCGGCAGAAGCGAGUGGAGCACCUGGUGCCCGCCUUCCUGGAGGGCGACACCGCCUACGUCCACAGCUUCCUGAGCACGUAUAGAGGUUUUGCCACCACACGACAGGUGCUGGAGCUUCUGUUUCAAAGAUACGGUUGUGUCCUUGCCUAUGGCGAUGAGGACGGCGGACCCCUAGACCAACUCAAAAAGGCCAUCUCCUUCAUUCUGGGCGCCUGGCUCCGAUGGUACCCUGAGGAUUUUAUCCAGCCCCCAGAUGUUCCCAGCCUGGAACUGCUCUUGGCCUACAUCGGUCUCAAUAUGCCCGGCUCGGAGCUGGAGCACCGCGCCCGCGUUCUUCUUUCCCGGCUGGAGCAGCCUGAGCACACUGAUGCCAAGACUGAGGCUGCAGCUCCACC